rnacentral:misc_RNA from 1 species
AAUUUUGUUAUUUAUACUCUACCCCAAUCCAAAUAAACUUCUUUACCUCAUCCUCGCGGAAAAAAAUAAUUUUAAAAUAUAAAAAUGGAAGAAAAUUUGUCAAAAAUGUUAACUAGGUAAUAUCAUAUCCAAAUCCUUCUUCCUGAAUAUAAUCGAAGCUUCAUUGAAGCUAGCCCCAUCGGUCCACCAUCAAAAAUGGAAACCUGGUUUCUGAUCCUCGUCACCAUCUCCAUCUCUGCCCUUCUGAAGCCUAUUUUCCACCUUUUAUUUUCUUCCAAGAAUUCCCCCUACAGCCUCCCUCCAGGCCCCUUUAAGUUCCCCAUCAUCGGCAACAUUUUAUGGCUCCGUAAAUCCUUAGCCGAAAUCGAGCCCAUCAUUCGCUCGCUGCACAAAAAGCUCGGCCCUAUGGUCACUCUCCACAUCGGUUCUAACCCCACCAUUUUCAUCGCCGAUCGCUCCCUAGCCCACCAAGCGUUGGUCCAGAGUGGUGCAGUUUUUGCUAAUCGUCCACAGGCUCCUGCUACUAAUAAAAUUUCCACUAACAAUCAGCAUAAUAUCAGCUCGUCCUUCUACGGCCCUACUUGGCGCCUCCUCCGCCGGAAUCUUACCUCAGAAAUCCUCCAUCCUUCAAGG